rnacentral:rRNA from 1 species
GCUUGUCUCAAAGAUUAAGCCAUGCAUGUCUUAGUGUAAAUAACUCUUAUGAAACUGCGAAUGGCUCAUUAAAUCAGUUAUCAAAUACGUGAUGGUCGCCUACUACAUGGAUAACCGUAGUAAUUCUAGAGCUAAUACAUGCGUCAAUACCCUUCUGGGGUAGUAUUUAUUAGAUUGAAACCAACCGCUUCGGCGUGAUGUGGUGAUUCAUAAUAAAUUUGCGAAUCGCAUGGCUUUACGCCGGCGAUGGAUCAUUCAAGUUUCUGCCCUAUCAGCUUUCGACGGUAGUGUAGUGGACUACCGUGGCAUUUACGGGUGACGGAGAAUUAGGGUUCGAUUCCGGAGAGGGAGCCUGAGAAACGGCUACCACAUCCAAGGAAGGCAGCAGG